AUGGAGGCUAUUCGCCGGGCCGCCUCCGCCGCCGCCGCCGCCGCCCACCACCACCACCGCCCGGCCGUCGCCGCCGCCGCCCACCACCGCCGCCCGGCCGUCGCCGCCCUCCACCAUCGCCCGGCCGUCGCCGCCCUCCACCACCGCCCGGCCGUCGCCGCCCUCCACCACCGCCCCGACGUCGCCGCCCUCCACCACCGCCCCGGCGCCCCCAUCUCCACCGCCACUGCCCGCGUCGCCGCCCUCCACCCUUCCGGCGUCCCCAUCUGCACCGCUACCGCCCUCCACCGCCCCGGCGCCCCCAUCCCCAGCGCCACCGCCCGUCUCCCCAUCCUCAGGCGCACUCCACCCCGCGCCCACUUCACCCCGCGCCGCCUCUGUUCGCAGUCCACCGUUGACAAGGUCCGCUCCGAGAUCCGCCGGGUGAAAGCCGACCGGAAGGAUCGCUUCGGACUCACCCUCGACAAAAUUGACUCUAUCACCGCCACCGUCGACAAGAUAAACAAAGACAUCUCCGAGCCCAAGUAUGACGCCUCGCUCGACCUUGGGAUGACCUCGAUCAAAGUAUGUGGACUUGUCCUUUCGUCAGGCUUGGCACUGGCUCUCGUGUCCUUCUCGGUCAUGUGGUUUGGUGGAGGGCAGGGAACCAAGAGCACCGCCUGCGUCUAUGUGGACAAGGAGAUGGAAUAUGUGAAAGAAGAUCUCCUGAAGAAGAUCGACGCCACCGGCCAGUAG
rnacentral:rRNA from 1 species